GCCCUUUCAUUCUGCACGCCGAUGCCCUAUAUCAUGGGGCCGUCUUCGGGCGGCUAUGGUGAUAAAUGAUGCCGUGAAAUAGACAUAGCGGACCCGGGGCAGUACCCGGCGGCUCCACCACCAGCCCCGGGAGCGAGGCUGAUGCUGGGGCCGAACCAGGAUCGACGUGUGUUCAAAGACGGUGUUUUGCCCGGCCUGACUGAGCCGUUAAACCGGUUUAACUCACAAAUGCCAACGAUAACGAGGCAUUCGCGAUUGCUGCCUAACGACCGGCCUCACGGCUAAUCGUUAAGUGACUUGAGCGCGGCAGGGACCACGCCGGGCAACAGAAGUGGAAACCAGCGGUACGGAGGGCACCGGGCAACAGAAGCCCUCCAUU
rnacentral:tmRNA from 1 species